UACGGAGGGGGCUAGCGUUGUUCGGAAUUACUGGGCGUAAAGCGCGCGUAGGCGGCUUUGUAAGUUAGAGGUGAAAGCCCGGAGCUCAACUUCGGAAUUACCUUUAAGACUGCAUCGCUUGAAUCAUGGAGAGGUCAGUGGAAUUCCGAGUGUAGAGGUGAAAUUCGUAGAUAUUCGGAAGAACACCAGUGGCGAAGGCGACUGACUGGACAUGUAUUGACGCUGAGGUGCGAAAGCGUGGGGAGCAAACAGG
rnacentral:rRNA from 1 species